UUCUUCAGUUCAUGGGAUUUUAUUUCAGGAGAAUUCAAACAUUCACGUAUUGGAGAAGAUGACACAUUUCUUGAAUGUCUUUGGCUUUGAGAUGAAUGCACUAACUAGAAGGGACUUCAGAUUGUCCUCCUUCGGGGGAGGUAAGUAUAUUCUUCAUAUACGGGUAAGAGUGAAAUGAUAGAAGAAUGUUCCUCCUCUCCUUUUCUUCCUGGACAACAGAUCAAAUAUUUCUCAGAUCUUUUACAGCCGAAUUGGAGUCACAUGGACAGGUAUGAUCUUAAAAUAUAAAAAAUUAUUUUAAAAUUACAUGCUAAAAUUUUAUAAAAAUAAAUGCUAAAACUAACUCAAAUGGAAGCAUUUGAUUAAAAAAUUUAUCCAAAAAAGUUUGAAUUUUAUAUGAAACAGGAUAGAAGAUGAAAAAGCUAAAGAAAUAAAAUAUAAAUAAAUUAUGGCUGGGGACAGUGGCUCACACCUGUAAUCCCAGCACUUUGGGAGGCUGAGGUGGGAGGACUGAUUGAGGCUAGGAGUUUGAGACCUGUUAUUUGAGGCACAUGGGAAGGAAAGUUUUCUUUGAGAUAUUCCACAUUUUAUAAUAUUCUUCAAGAGAUUUACAGAGUUCCUUGAGUGAAUUGUUGGUUUGUUCUUAAUACUGAAUUUCCUAUUCAAAUUUAUUUAGAAGUUCAUUUCUUACAGUGAUCUCAUCUCCUAUUAAGAUAUUCUUCAAGGUAGGUUCUUGGCCAGUUUCUCAAUGACAGAUUUUUAAAAAUAUUGUUAAUCUUUUUAUUAAUAUGAGAACAUAAUUGUUCCAGAUCUGGAGGCCAUCCUUUAAACUUCUUGCAACAGUCUGGGAGCAAAGAGUUUACUCGCCACUGGGUAGUGGGCCAUGGACACCCCAGUCUCCACCAGAAGUUCGGGAUUGCAAAAUGGGACUCUGGCAGCAAAUUUCAAACUGUAUGCCAGACCUGGCCCUUUGCAGUGAUAUAAAAUUUUUCUUGAGGUGUCUGGAAAGAUGACUGAAUAGGAACAGCUCCGUUCUGCAGCUCCCAGCGAGAUCAACGCAGAAGGAGAUAAUUUCUGCAUUUCCAACUAAAGUACCCAGCUCAUCUCAUUGGGACUGGUUAGACAGUGGGUGCAGCCCACAGAAGGCAAGCAGAAGCAGGGUGGGGUGUCGCCUCACCCGGGAAGCGCAAGGGGUCAGGGAACUCCCUCCCCUAGCCAAGGGAAGCCGUGAGGGACUGUGCCGUGAGGAACGGGGCAUUCCGGCACAGAUACUAUGCUUUCCCCACGGUCUUUGCAACCCACAGACCAGGAGAUUCCCUUGGGUGCCUAUACCACCAGGGCCCUGGGUUUCAAGCAAAAAACUGGGCAGCCAUUUGGGCAGACACUGAGCUAGCAGCAGGAGUUUUUUUCAUACCCUAGUAGCCCCUAGAAUGCCAGCGAGACAGAACUGUUCACUCCCCUGGAAAGGGGCACUGAAGCCAGGGAGCCAAGUGGUCUAGCUCAGCAGAUCCCACCCCCACGGAGCCCAACAAGCUAAGACCCACUGGGUUGAAAUUCUCACUGCCAGCACAGCAGUCUGAUGUCCACCUGGAAUGCUUGAGCUUGGUGCAGGGAGGGGCGUCUGCCGUUACUGAGGCAUGAUUAGGCAGUUUCCCCCUCACAGUGUAAACAAAGCUGCUGGGAAGUUUGAACUGGGUGGAGCCCACUGCAGCUUGGCAAAGUUGCUGUAGCAAGUGUGUCUCUCUAGAUUCCUCCUCUCUGAGCAGGGCAUCUCUGAAACAAAGGCAGCAGCCCCAGUCAGGGACUUAUAGAUAAAACUCCCAUCUCCCUGGGACAGAGCACCUGGGGGAAGGGGCAGCUGUGGGCACAGCUUCAAGACACUUAAAUGUUCCUGCCUGCUGGCUCUGAAGAGAGCAGCAGAUCUCCCAGCACAGUGCUCGAGUUCUGCUAAGGGACAGACUGCCUCCUCAAGUGGGUCCCUGACCCCUGUGCCUCCGGAGUGGGAGAGACCUUCCAGCAGGGGUCAACAGAAAUCUGGUGGGUGCCCGUCUGAGACGAAGCUUCCAGAGGAAGGAACAGGCAGCAAUCUGUGCUGUUCUGUAGCCUGCGUUGGUGAUACCCAGGUAAACAGGGUCUCGAGUGGAUCUCCAGCAAACUCCAGCAGACCUGCAGCAGAGGGGCCUGACUGUUAGAAGGAAAACUAACAAGCAGAAAGGAAUAGCGUCAACAUCAACAAAAAGGACAUCCACACAAAAACCCCAUCGGAAGGUCGCCAGCAUCAAAGACCAAAGGUAGAUAAAUCCAUGAAGAUGAGGAAAAACCAGUGCAAAAAGGCUGAAAAUUCCAAAAACCAGAACACCUUUUCUCCUGCAAAGGAUCACAACUCCUUGCCAGCAAGAGAACAAAACUGGAUGGAGAAUGAGUUUGACGAAUUUACAGGAGGAGGCUUCAGAAGGUCGGUAAUAACAAACUCCUCUGAGCUAAAGGAGCAUGUUCUAACCCAAUGCAAGGAAGCUAAAAAUGAAAAAAGGCUGGAGGAAUUGCUAACUAGAAUAACCACUUUAGAGAAGAACAUAAAUGAUCUGAUGGAGCUGAAAAACACAGCACGAGAACUUCGUGAAGCAUACAGAAGUAUCAAUAGCUGAAUUGAUCAAGCAGAAGAAAGGAUAUCAGAGAUUGAAGAUCAACUUAAUGACACAAAGUGUGACGUCAAGAUUAGAG
rnacentral:lncRNA from 1 species